ACCGUACUCCUACGGGAGGCAGCAGUGGGGAAUUUUGGACAAUGGGGGCAACCCUGAUCCAGCAAUGCCGCGUGAGUGAAGAAGGCCUUCGGGUUGUAAAGCUCUUUUGUCAGGGAAGAAACGGUAGUAGCUAAUAUCUAUUACUAAUGACGGUACCUGAAGAAUAAGCACCGGCUAACUACGUGCCAGCAGCCGCGGUAAUACGUAGGGUGCAAGCGUUAAUCGGAAUUACUGGACGUAAAGCGUGCGCAGGCGGUUGUGUAAGUCAGAUGUGAAAUCCCCGGGCUCAACCUGGGAAUUGCAUUUGAGACUGAACGGCUAGAGUGUGGCAGAGGGGGGUAGAAGUCCACGUGUAGCAGUGAAAUGCGUAGAUAGGUGGAGGAAUACCGAUGGCGAAGGCAGCCCCCUGGGAUAACACUGACGGUCAUGCACGAAAGCGUGGGGAGCAAACAUGAUUAGAUACCCGGGUAGUCCUUGAC
rnacentral:rRNA from 1 species